AAGUCGAACGAGAAAGUCCCCGCAAGGGGAUGAGUACAGUGGCGAACGGGUGAGUAACACGUGACUAACCUGCCUUUCAGUGGGGGAUAACCCCGGGAAACCGGGGCUAAUACCGCAUAACACCUUCAGGACGCAAUGCCUGAAGAUCAAACGGGUAACUGGCUGAAAGAGGGGGUCGCGGCUGAUUAGCUAGUUGGCGGGGUAACGGCCCACCAAGGCAAUGAUCAGUAGCCGGCCUGAGAGGGCGCACGGCCACACUGGAACUGAAACACGGUCCAGACUCCUACGGGAGGCAGCAGUGGGGAAUUUUGCACAAUGGGGGAAACCCUGAUGCAGCAACGCCGCGUGGAGGAUGAAGCCCCUUGGGGCGUAAACUCCUUUCGAUCGGGACGAUAAUGACGGUACCGGAAGAAGAAGCACCGGCUAACUCUGUGCCAGCAGCCGCGGUAAUACAGAGGGUGCAAGCGUUGUUCGGAAUUAUUGGGCGUAAAGGGCGCGUAGGCGGUGCGGUAAGAGUGUUGUGAAAUCCCCGGGCUCAACUCGGGGCCUGCAACGCUGACUGCCGUGCUGGAGUGUGGGAGAGGUGCGUGGAAUUCCCGGUGUAGCGGUGAAAUGCGUAGAUAUCGGGAG
rnacentral:rRNA from 1 species